rnacentral:rRNA from 1 species
AACGCGAAGAACCUUACCUGGGCUCGAAAUGCAGUGGACCGGGGUAGAAAUAUCCCUUCCCCUUAAAAGGCUGCUGCAUAGGUGCUGCAUGGCUGUCGUCAGCUCGUGUCGUGAGAUGUUGGGUUAAGUCCCGCAACGAGCGCAACCCUUAUCCCUAGUUGCCAUCGGGUCAAGCCGGGCACUCUAGUGAAACCGCCCCGGAUAACGGGGAGGAAGGUGGGGAUGACGUCAAGUCCUCAUGGCCUUUAUGUCCAGGGCUACACACGUGCUACAAUGGUCGGUACAAACCGUCGCAAACCCGCGAGGGGGAGCUAAUCGGAAAAAGCCGGCCUCAGUUCGGAUUGGAGUCUGCAACUCGACUCCAUGAAGCUGGAAUCGCUAGUAAUCGCGGAUCAGAACGCCGCGGUGAAUACGUUCCCGGGCCUUGUACACACCGCUCGUC